rnacentral:piRNA from 1 species
ACACUAAGGACAAGGAAGACUAUGAC